AUUGAACGCUGGCGGCAAGCCUAACACAUGCAAGUCGAACGAGUGGCGGACGGGUGAGUAAUGUCUGGGAAACUGCCCGAUGGCGGGGGAUAACUACUGGAAACGGUAGCUAAUACCGCAUACCAUCGGAUGUGCCCAGAUGGGAUUAGCUAGUAGGUGGGGUAAAGGCUCACCAAGGCGACGAUCCCUAGCUGGUCUGAGAGGAUGACCAGCCACACUGGAACUGAGACACGGUCCAGACUCCUACGGGAGGCAGCAGUGGGGAAUAUUGCACAAUGGGCGCAAGCCUGAUUCAGCCAUGCCGCGUGUAUGAAGAAGGCCUGCGGGUUGUAAAGUACUUUCAGCAGGGAGGCGUUACCCACAGAAGAAGCACCGGCUAACUCCGUGCCAGCAGCCGCGGUAAUUC
rnacentral:rRNA from 1 species